rnacentral:rRNA from 1 species
UUAAGAAGCGGUCCCAGUUCGAAUUGAAGGCUGAAAUUCGCCUUCAUGAAGUUGGAAUUGCUGUAAUGGCAGGUCAGCAUACUGCCGUGAAUACGUUCCCGGGCCUUGUACACACCGCCCGUCACACCAUGAGAGUUGGAGAUACCCGAAGCCUGUGAGCUAACAGAAAUGGAGCAGCAGUCGAAGGUAGAAUCAAUGAUUGGGGUGAAGUCGUAACAAGGUAUC